rnacentral:lncRNA from 1 species
AGUUCGCUAACGACAACUUCCGGAGAGGACAAGAGGAACUGCUGUCGGAGAUACGGCGGCGCAAGGCGGUGAUCGCCGCGGCAGGGAAAUGCGUAGUCGUUGGUUCGCCGUCGGAGUCAAACUCGGCGGGUGACGAUCACGGUUCUAGCUCCACGUCAUCGCCGGGGUCGAAGCACCCGGGGUCGGUGGAGAACAUGGUUGCUGACUUAUCCGGGGAGAACGAGAAGCUGAAAAGAGAGAACAGCAGUUUGAGCUCGGAGCUCGCGGCGGCGAAGAGGCAGCGCGACGAGCUGGUGGCGUUCUUGACCGAGCAGAUGAAAGUGGGACCGGAGCAGAUCGAUCAGAUGAUCAAAGGAGGAGGGAAGAAACUCAAACCGGCGGUGGAGGAGGAAGAGAGCGACUGCGAAGGCUGCGGCGGAGACAACGGUGGAGCCGCCGUGGAGGGAGAGAAGGGGGUGGUAGGUGAAGGUUUGAAACUGUUUG